rnacentral:rRNA from 1 species
GACGAACGCUGGCGGCGUGCUUAACACAUGCAAGUCGAACGGAAAGGCCCUGCUUUCGUGGGGUGCUCGAGUGGCGAACGGGUGAGUAACACGUGAGUAACCUGCCCUUGACUUUGGGAUAACUUCAGGAAACUGGUGCUAAUACCGGAUAGGAGCUCCUGCUGCAUGGUGGGGGUUGGAAAGUUUCGGCGGUUGGGGAUGGACUCGCGGCUUAUCAGCUUGUUGGUGGGGUAGUGGCUUACCAAGGCUUUGACGGGUAGCCGGCCUGAGAGGGUGACCGGCCACAUUGGGACUGAGAUACGGCCCAGACUCCUACGGGAGGCAGCAGUGGGGAAUAUUGCACAAUGGGCGGAAGCCUGAUGCAGCAACGCCGCGUGCGGGAUGACGGCCUUCGGGUUGUAAACCGCUUUCGCCUGUGACGAAGCGUGAGUGACGGUAAUGGGUAAAGAAGCACCGGCUAACUACGUG